rnacentral:rRNA from 1 species
AUGCCAUGCGGAUUGUGCAGCGCGCCGGCUACGUUUCAAUGUUUGAUGAACACUGUCUCCGGCCGUUACAUCCGUAAGUUCAACAUUAUUUUUUUGGAUGACAUUUUAGUAUUCAGCAUUGACCUACAGGAGCAUGAAGAACACCUACGCCUCACUCUGGACCUCCUCCGCGAGCACCAGCUGUUCGCCAAGGCCAGUAAGUGUUCGUUCGCGCAAACAAGCAUCAAGUACCUUGGGCAUGUGAUCUCGCAAGACGGCAUUGCCACCGACACAAGCAAGACCAGUGUCAUGCAGAUACGUUGGAGACGUAUCAGCCCUCGACACCAACCGAGCUGCGAGGCUUCCUGGGGUUGA